GGGUUAGUAGAUCGGUCGUGCCACUGGUAUGUACUGGUCUCACUGAUUCCUCCUUCCUGAUGAACCGUAAUGCCAUUAAUUUGGUGUUGCGGGGAGACUGGACUGUUACUUUGAAAAAUUAGAGUGUUUAAAGCAGGCUAACGCUUGGAUACAUUAGCAUGGGAUAACGGAAUAGGACGUUCGAUCUUAUUUUGUUGGUUUCUAUGAUUGACGUAAUGAU
rnacentral:rRNA from 1 species